UAGCGAAGGGGGCUAGCGUUGCUCGGAAUCACUGGGCGUAAAGCGCACGUAGGCGGAUUGUUAAGUCAGGGGUGAAAUCCUGGAGCUCAACUCCAGAACUGCCUUUGAUACUGACGAUCUCGAGUCCGGGAGAGGUGAGUGGAACUGCGAGUGUAGAGGUGAAAUUCGUAGAUAUUCGCAAGAACACCAGUGGCGAAGGCGGCUCACUGGCCCGGUACUGACGCUGAGGUGCGAAAGCGUGGGGAGCAAACAGG
rnacentral:rRNA from 1 species